rnacentral:tRNA from 1 species
GCGCGGUUAGCUCAGUGGUAGAGCAUCGCCUUGACACGGCGGGGGUCACAGGUUCAAGCCCUGUAUCGCGCACCA